rnacentral:rRNA from 1 species
GUGAACGCUGGCCGUAGGCCUAACACCUGCCAGUCGAACGGCAGCACAGUAAGAGCUUGCUCUUACGGGUGGCGAGUGGCGGACGGGUGAGGAAUACAUCGGAAUCUACUUUUUCGUGGGGGAUAACGUAGGGAAACUUACGCUAAUACCGCAUACGACCUACGGGUGAAAGCAGGGGAUCUUCGGACCUUGCGCGAUUGAAUGAGCCGAUGUCGGAUUAGCUAGUUGGCGGGGUAAAGGCCCACCAAGGCGACGAUCCGUAGCUGGUCUGAGAGGAUGAUCAGCCACACUGGAACUGAGACACGGUCCAGACUCCUACGGGAGGCAGCAGUGGGGAAUAUUGGACAAUGGGCGCAAGCCUGAUCCAGCCAUACCGCGUGGGUGAAGAAGGCCUUCGGGUUGUAAAGCCCUUUUGUUGGGAAAGAAAAGCAGCAGGUUAAUACCCCGCUGUUCUGACGGUACCCAAAGAAUAAGCACCGGCUAACUUCGUG